rnacentral:rRNA from 1 species
GAUCCUGGCUCAGGAUGAACGCUAGCGGCAGGCUUAACACAUGCAAGUCGAGGGGCAUCGCGGUGUAGCAAUACACUGGCGGCGACCGGCGAAAGGGUGAGUAACGCGUGAGCAACAUACCCGGCACUGGGGGAUAGUCAUUGGAAACGAUGCGUAAUACCCCGUAACACAUGGAGCGGCAUCGCUUCAUGUUAAGAGAUUUAUCGAUACCGGAUUGGCUCGCGUACCAUUAGCUAGUUGGCGGGUAACGGCCCACCAAGGCGACGAUGGUUAGGGGUUCUGAGAGGAAGGUCCCCCACAUUGGAACUGAGACACGGUCCAGACUCCUACGGGAGGCAGCAGUGAGGAAUAUUGGUCAAUGGCCGAGAGGCUGAACCAGCCAUGCCGCGUGCGGGAAGACGGCCCUAUGGGUUGUAAACCGCUUUUGUCGGGGAGCAAUAAGUCUUACGUGUAAGAUGAUGAGAGUACCUGGCGAAUAAGCAUCGGCUAACUCCGUGCCAGCCGCAGC